rnacentral:rRNA from 1 species
GACGAACGCUGGCGGCGUGCUUUACACAUGCAAGUCGAACGGUGAAGGUGGAGCUUGCUCCGCCGGAUCAGUGGCGAACGGAUGAGUAACACGUGGGCAACCUGCCCCUAACUUUGGGAUAACUACUCGAAAGAGUAGCUAAUACCGGAUAUGAAGUCUGUAGGCAUCUAUGGAUUUGGAAAGUUUUUCGGUUAGGGAUGGGCCCGCGGCCUAUCAGCUUGUUGGUGAGGUAGUGGCUCACCAAGGCGACGACGGGUAGCCGGCCUGAGAGGGCGACAGGCCACACUGGGACUGAGACACGGCCCAGACUCCUACGGGAGGCAGCAGUGGGGAAUAUUGCGCAAUGGGCGAAAGCCUGACGCAGCAACGCCGCGUGCGGGAUGAAGGCCUUCGGGUUGUAAACCGCUUUCAGCAGGGAAGAAGCGAAAGUGACGGUACCUGCAGAAGAAGCACCGGCUAACUACGUGCCAGCCGCCGCUGUAA